GAUGAACGCUGGCGGCGUGCCUAACACAUGCAAGUCGAGCGAUUCUCUUCGGAGAAGAGCGGCGGACGGGUGAGUAACGCGUGGGUAACCUGCCCUGUACACACGGAUAACAUACCGAAAGGUAUGCUAAUACGAGAUAAUAUGCUUUUAUCGCAUGGUAGAAGUAUCAAAGCUCCGGCGGUACAGGAUGGACCCGCGUCUGAUUAGCUAGUUGGUAAGGUAACGGCUUACCAAGGCGACGAUCAGUAGCCGACCUGAGAGGGUGAUCGGCCAAAUGGGAACUGAGACACGGUCCAAACUCCUACGGGGGGCAGCAGUGGGGAAGAUUGCACAAUGGGCGAAAGCCUGAUGCAGCAACGCCGCGUGAGCGAUGAAGGCCUUCGGGUCGGAAAGCGCUGUCCUCAAGGAAGAUAAUGACGGUACUUGAGGAGGAAGCCCCGGCUAACUACGUGCCAGCAGCCGCCGUAA
rnacentral:rRNA from 1 species